AUUGAACGCUGGCGGCAGGCCUAACACAUGCAAGUCGAACGAGUGGCGGACGGGUGAGUAAUGUCUGGGAAACUGCCUGAUGGAGGGGGAUAACUACUGGAAACGGUAGCUAAUACCGCCUACCAUCGGCUGUGCCCAGAUGGGAUUGGCUAGUAGGUGGGGUAACGGCUCACCUAGGCGACGAUCCCUAGCUGGUCUGAGAGGAUGACCAGCCACACUGGAACGGAGACACGGGCCAGACUCCUACGUGAGGCAGCAGUGGGGAAUCUUGCACAAUGGGCGCAAGCCUGGUGCAGCCAUGCCGCGUGGAUGAAGAAGGCCUUCGGGUUGUAAAAUACUUUCGGCGGGGAGGCGUGACCCGCAGAAGAAGCACCGGCUAACGCCGUGCCAGCAGCCGCGGUAAUUC
rnacentral:rRNA from 1 species